UAAACUCAAAGCAUUGUCCCGUCUCUUCAUCGGCUUCCUCACCCCCAUAUUCUCCUCCAUCUGAUACACCAGCCACCGCCUUAGGAAAGUACAAAGGACAUAGCCGCCGCCAUGGGUAAGUAGGAGGUGUCAACAGCCUUGGAAAUCAAGUUUCAAAUUUGGUGAUUCCCCCAAGCUAUGAAGCUAGAGCUGGAACCCUAGAAUCAGGAGCUGGAACUCUAGAAAUCUGGAGGUGGCAAGUCUAGUACCUAUAUGGGUGACGAAUAAAUAAAUUUGAAGUUAUUUUAAUGCAAGGGUGUUUUUUUUAAUAGUGUAAUAUACAUGUGUGUUAUUGUAAUCAUGCUUGGGUUCCUAGACAAGAACUUGGAAUAUAGUUGACCUUUUGUUGUAAAUGUUGGUGUAAACCCCUCUUGUAAUAAAUGUUGUGUUUCAAUUUCGGUAACUUGUCUAGUAUCGUUCUUUUCCAAUUAUUCAUAUUUCGAUCUUGGAAAUUUAUUUCCAUGAUUGGAGUAUGAGUUGCAUCUCAAAAAACAAAACAAAAAAAUUUGGGAUUGUUGUAAA